UACGUAGGGGGCGAGCGUUGUCCGAAUUUACUGGGCGUAAAGCGCGCGUAGGCGGUUUCUUAAGUCUGGGGUGAAAGGUUCAACGCUCAACGUGAACAGUGCCUUGGAUACUGGGAGACUUGAGUCUGGGAGGGGGUAGUGGAAUUCCUGGUGUAGCGGUGAAAUGCGCAGAUAUCAGGAGGAACACCGGUGGCGAAGGCGGGUCUCUGGGCCGAUACUGACGCUGAGGAGCGAAAGCGUGGGGAGCGAACAGG
rnacentral:rRNA from 1 species